CCAGCUGGCUGUUGUUUCUUACGGUAAAGAAAAACCAGCAGUACUGGGUCAUGACGAAGCAGCAUACGCUAAAAACCGUCGCGCUGUAAUCGUAUACUAAGAGUAAUGCAUGAACAGUAACUUCAGACAUUUUGUAUUG
rnacentral:sRNA from 1 species